UGCUGGUUGCUCAUAGCCGCACAUGUGUCCAACCUCUACGAAAAUUUCACUCGAAGCUCUGAUUUGAUCGAUCUUCUCGAGAGUGCUAGUUCGUGUGAAGACCUUCUUUUUGACUGAUCUGAAUCUUUUUUUUAAAUCUUUAGAAUCUUUCUAGAGGUUAAAGAUAGACUUCUAGAGGAGAUGAAGAGGUAGAAGAAAGAUGGAGAA
rnacentral:lncRNA from 1 species